AAGCUCGUAGUUGAAUUUCGGGCCUGGCUGGGUGGUCUGCUUAACGGCAUGUACUGUCUGGCUGGGUCUUACCUCUUGGUGAGCCGGUGUGCCCUUUAUUGGUGUGCAUUGGGGAACCAGGACUUUUACCUUGAGAAAAUUAGAGUGUUCAAAGCAGGCUUAUGCCAGAAUACAUUAGCAUGGAAUAAUAAAAUAGGACGUGUGGUUCUAUUUUGUUGGUUUUUAGAGUCGCCGUAAUGAUUAAUAGGGAUAGUUGGG
rnacentral:rRNA from 1 species